UAGGGCAAUCUGCCCUAAAGACUGGGAUACCACUUGGAAACAGGUGCUAAUACCGGAUAACAACAUGAAUCGCAUGAUUCAAGUUUGAAAGGCGGCGUAAGCUGUCACUUUAGGAUGAGCCCGCGGCGCAUUAGCUAGUUGGUGGGGUAAAGGCCUACCAAGGCAAUGAUGCGUAGCCGAGUUGAGAGACUGAUCGGCCACAUUGGGACUGAGACACGGCCCAA
rnacentral:rRNA from 1 species